AAUGUGAAAUCAAAUUACAUAACUGCUUUCUCCCUAAUCUUAUUAUAUAAAUUAUGGUUUUCAAAGUUGCUAAUUCGUAGGAUUGUGCCACGUGUCAAGUCAAACGAUCAGAUGUUUACAUGUGUCAUUCCAAAUUUAACUUUUUUAUUCUCUAAAAAAAUAGAAAAUCUUAAAAAGUAAACAAAUUUACAUAUACUAAUUUAUAUAUCUAUAUAUUUAUAAACAAUUAACAUUUAUUCAACAAAAGGAAAAUUAACAAAUUUGUCUUUAACUCAUGUAAUCAUAGGUGAAAAAUAAAACAUUUUGAGAAAAAUAGCUUAGCUUAUAGGAUUUAACUUUUCAAUUAUUUUCAUUUAUUAAUUUUAACUCAUUUAAUAUUAAUUUGCAUGAUGUAAAAUUAACUUACGAGAUUACGACAUAUAUACAAAAUAUAUUUUCAACAAUGUUUGGUUUUUAAAU
rnacentral:sRNA from 1 species